rnacentral:rRNA from 1 species
AACGAACGCUGGCGGCAGGCCUAACACAUGCAAGUCGAGCGCACCUUCGGGUGAGCGGCGGACGGGUUAGUAACACGUGGGAACGUACCCUUCUCUAAGGAAUAGUCUCGGGAAACUGGGGGUAAUACCUUAUACGCCCUUAGGGGGAAAGAUUUAUCGGGGAAGGAUCGGCCCGCGGCUGAUUAGAUAGUUGGUGGGGUAAUGGCCUACCAAGUCUACGAUCAGUAGCUGGUUUUAGAGGAUGAUCAGCAACACUGGGACUGAGACACGGCCCAGACUCCUACGGGAGGCAGCAGUGGGGAAUCUUAGACAAUGGGCGAAAGCCUGAUCUAGCCAUGCCGCGUGAGUGAUGAAGGCCUUAGGGUCGUAAAGCUCUUUCGCUGGGGAAGAUAAUGACUGUACCCAGUAAAGAAGUCCCGGCUAACUCCGUG